GUGGGGAAUAUUGGACAAUGGGGGGAACCCUGAUCCAGCCAUGCCGCGUGUGUGAAGAAGGCCUUUUGGUUGUAAAGCACUUUAAGCGAGGAGGAGGCUACCGAGAUUAAUACUCUUGGAUAGUGGACGUUACUCGCAGAAUAAGCACCGACUAACUCUGUGCCAGCAGCCGCGGUAAUACAGAGGGUGCAAGCGUUAAUCGGAUUUACUGGGCGUAAAGCGCGCGUAGGUGGCCAAUUAAGUCAAAUGUGAAAUCCCCGAGCUUAACUUGGGAAUUGCAUUCGAUACUGGUUGGCUAGAGUAUGGGAGAGGAUGGUAGAAUUCCAUGUGUAGCGGUGAAAUGCGUAGAGAUCUGGAGGAAUACCGAUGGCGAAGGCAGCCAUCUGGCCUAAUACUGACACUGAGGUGCGAAAGCAUGGGGAGCAAACAGGAUUAGAUACCCGGGUAGUCC
rnacentral:rRNA from 1 species